rnacentral:tmRNA from 5 species
GGGGGUGCACAGGUUUCGACGGGAAGUGGCGAAGUAAUAGUCGCGAGUCGAGGAGCUGCCCGGCCUCGUAAAAAGGCAGAAGAAAACAAACGCAAACAACUUUAAAAACGCGUUCACCGCAGCUCCGGCUGCACUUGUUGCUUAAUUAAAUAGGCAGCGCCGUCAGGUAGAAUGUGCUGGUGGUUCUAACUGACGUCAUUUAACCAGAUCGUUUUCUGUUGACGUUUGUCCGGCAGAAAGUUAAACAUAGACAGACUUUCUUAGUAUUAUCCUGUCCAUAGGAGAAUAAUAAGAGAAAUUAAAGUAUGGACUACACUCGUAGUGGCUUUUAUUGAGGACUUUUCGGACAGCGGUUCGAUUCCGCUCACCUCCACCA